ensembl:snRNA U1 U1 spliceosomal RNA
UUAAUUACCUGGAAGGGGAGAUACCAUGAUCACGAAGGUGGUUUUCCCAGGGCGAGGCUUAUCCAUUGCACUGCAGAUGUGCUGACCCCUGCGAUUUCCCCAACUGCAUAAUUCGUGGAAGUGGGUGACCGCAUUCAUGCUUUA